rnacentral:rRNA from 1 species
GAUGAACGCUGGCGGCGUGCCUAAUACAUGCAAGUCGAGCGAACAGAUGAGGAGCUUGCUCCUCUGACGUUAGCGGCGGACGGGUGAGUAACACGUGGAUAACCUACCUCUAAGACUGGGAUAACUUCGGGAAACCGGAGCUAAUACCGGAUAAUAUAUUGAACCGCAUGGUUCAAUAGUGAAAGACGGUUUUGCUGUCACUUAUAGAUGGAUCCGCGCCGCAUUAGCUAGUUGGUAAGGUAACGGCUUACCAAGGCAACGAUGCGUAGCCGACCUGAGAGGGUGAUCGGCCACACUGGAACUGAGACACGGUCCAGACUCCUACGGGAGGCAGCAGUAGGGAAUCUUCCGCAAUGGGCGAAAGCCUGACGGAGCAACGCCGCGUGAGUGAUGAAGGUCUUCGGAUCGUAAAACUCUGUUAUUAGGGAAGAACAAAUGUGUAAGUAACUAUGCACGUCUUGACGGUACCUAAUCAGAAAGCCACGGCUAACUACGUG